AUAGGGACCACUCUGAUCCUUAUCUACUGUGGUGCUUUGAAAGAAAAUGGUCCCCAUGGCUCAUUGGGAGUGGCACCAUUAGGAGGUGUGGCCUUGCUGGAAUAGAUCCAGAUGUAGAACUCUUGGCUACCUCUCCAGUACCAUGUCUGCCUGCAUGCUGCCAUACUUCCCACUAUGGCGAUGGGCUAAACCUCAGAACUGAUCUCAUGUAGCUCCGACCAGCCUCAAAUUUACCAAGUCGCCAAGGACACCUUUGAACUUCUGACCCUCCUGCCUCCACCAAAAAGACAGUUCUGCUGGGGUGAGGAGGCUUUAGCAGGAGCUCAGCAGCCUUGCCUACGGCCCCACGUGGCGCUCUCUGGGACUGGGUGAUGAUGGAUCUGUGACCCUGCUCACUUUGCACCUGCCGGUGAGUCUCUUGACCCCUAUGGUUUGCACAGAGUAAAGCCUAUGGAUGUGAGCACUGAGCUGGAACAGCGCCCUCCAGGACUGGACUCUGGUGUCUCCCCAGCCCAGAGGCUUCUGAAUGAGUUGCCAGCUUUAAGUGAAGCACUCCCCGAGUGUCAGACCCUCCUCUGCAAAACACAGAUGCUCGAAGAUGCCUGGCAGUCUCCCUCCAGUUGAAGAUUAUGAGAAAGUGGAUGUGCAGGGGCUGAGCUCCGGGAAGUCUGCCCACCUGCUGGG